rnacentral:rRNA from 1 species
UGGGCAACCUGCCCUGUACUGUGGAAUAAUCAUUGGAAACGAUGACUAAUACCGCAUGUGGUCCUCGGAAGGCAUCUUCUGAGGAAGAAAGGAUUUAUUCGGUACAGGAUGGGCCCGCAUCUGAUUAGCUAGUUGGUGAGAUAACAGCCCACCAAGGCGACGAUCAGUAGCCGACCUGAGAGGGUGAUCGGCCACAUUGGGACUGAGACACGGCCCAA